UUGGAUGGUUGGGUCGGAGGGUCUCGGGCAGCGAGGAUAUGUGUGGUCUUCACUUCCCGCCGAGGGUACCCCCUGAGGAAGUUAACGGCCCUCACCGUCAGGAAACCCUAUUCACCUUAGGAAGAUGAAUUCGGCUCCUUUUAUAGCUUAUAGCUUUCUUCCACCAGUGUUCUCUCUCUCUCCCUUUUCUCUCUCCCCGUGCCUCUCCCUCUCUCUUACAUAGCACUCAUGUGGCUUCCUCUCUCUCCCUGUCGCCCUUGACGAUAGCGGUUAGUGGUUCGUUUGGUGAAUGAAUGAUUGG
rnacentral:lncRNA from 1 species